rnacentral:tRNA from 1 species
GCCCCGGUAGCUCAGGGGAUAGAGCGUCUGCCUCCGGAGCAGAAGGUCGCAGGUUCGAAUCCUGUCCGGGGCACCA